rnacentral:rRNA from 1 species
CUGGCCUUGACAUCCAGAGAACUUUCCAGAGGUGGAUUGGUGCCUUCGGGAACUCUGAGACAGGUGCUGCAUGGCCGUCGUCAGCUCGUGUCGUGAGAUGUUGGGUUAAGUCCCGUAACGAGCACAACCCCUAUCCCUGGUUGCUAGCAGGUAAUGCUGAGAACUCCAGGGAGACUGCCGGUGACAAACCGGAGGAAGGUGGGGAUGACGUCAGGUCAUCAUGGCCCUUACGGCCAGGGCUACACACGUGCUACAAUGGGGCGUACAAAGGGUUGCGAAGCCGCGAGGUGGAGCUAAUCCCAUAAAACGUCUCGUAGUCCGGAUUGCAGUCUGCAACUCGACUGCAUGAAGUCGGAAUCGCUAGUAAUCGCGAAUCAGAAUGUCGCGGUGAAUACGUUCCC